rnacentral:rRNA from 1 species
ACGCUCGACACCUACGGGAGGCGGCAGUGGGGAAUAUUGCACAAUGGGGGAAACCCUGAUGCAGCGACGCCGCGUGGAGGAAGAAGGUCUUCGGAUUGUAAACUCCUGUUGUUGGGGAAAAAGAGGAUGGUACCCAACAAGGAAGUGACGGCUAACUACGUGCCAGUAGCCGCGGUAAUCUGAGCGGGCUGGCAAGGC